AACGAACGCUGGCGGCAUGCCUAACACAUGCAAGUCGAACGAGACCUUCGGGUCUAGUGGCGCACGGGUGCGUAACGCGUGGGAACCUGCCCUUAGGUUCGGAAUAACUCCCCGAAAGGGGUGCUAAUACCGGAUAAUGUCUUCGGACCAAAGAUUUAUCGCCUCUGGAUGGGCCCGCGUUGGAUUAGCUAGUUGGUAGGGUAAAAGCCUACCAAGGCGACGAUCCAUAGCUGGUCUGUGAGGAUGAUCAGCCACACUGGGACUGAGACACGGCCCAGACUCCUACGGGAGGCAGCAGUGGGGAAUAUUGGACAAUGGGCGAAAGCCUGGUCCAGCAAUGCCGCGUGAGUGAUGAAGGCCUUAGGGUUGUAAAGCUCUUUUACCCGGGAUGAUAAUGACAGUACCGGGAGAAUAAGCUCCGGCUAACUCCGUG
rnacentral:rRNA from 1 species